UUUCCUUUUUUUUGGUCUUCUCUCUCUUUCUCUGGGAAGGGUGCCGGCCAACGGUGGCCGGCCUAGUAUUUUAAAGUGUGGGCCUUUUUGGCGGUGGCUUUUUCUGUCUUUUCUUUGGUCUUUGCUGCCUCUCGGCCUACGUGGCCGAGUUUCCCCGAUGCACCGCCUCUCUCUUCUCUCUCGGCUGUCGUUCUUUACCCCUUUAUGCGAGUUUGCACCGAAGCCUCCUUUGGGGCGACGGCCCCUCUUUCUUCCUGUCUGGGAAUCGUGCCGGCCAACGGUGGCCGGCCUAGUAUUUUAUAGUGUGGGCCUUUUUGGCGGUGGCUUUUUCUGUCUUUUCUUUGGUCUUUGCUGCCUCUCGGCCUACGUGGCCGAGUUUCCCCGAUGUACCGCCUCUCUCUUCUCUCGCCGGCUGUCGUUCUUUAGCCCUUUAUGCUAUUUUGCACAGAAGCCUCCUUUGGGGCGGUGUCCUCUGGUUUUUUUUCUCUCUCUCUCUCUCUCUCAGGGAUGCGUGCCGGCAAACAGUGGCCGGCCCGGCUUAAUGUAUGGGCCUUGUCGCCUGUGGCUUUUUUCUUUCUUUUCUUUUCUUUUCUUUUCUUUUUGCUGCCUCUCGGCCUACGUGGUCGGGUUUCCCACGAUGCACCGCCUCUCUCUUCUCUCUCGGCUGUCGUUCUUUACCCCUUUAUGCGAGUUUGCACCGAAGCCUCCUUUGGGGCGACGGCCCCUCUUUCUUCCUGUCUGGGAAUCGUGCGGGCCAACGGUGGCCGGCCUAGUAUUUUAUAGUGUGGGCCUUUUUGGCGGUGGCUUUUUCUGUCUUUUCUUUGGUCUUUGCUGCCUCUCGGCCUACGUGGCCGAGUUUCCCCCGAUGCACCGCCUCUCUCUUCUCUCUCGGCUGUCGUUCUUUAGCCCUUUAUGCGAGUUUGCACCGAAGCCUCCUUUGGGGCGACGGCCCCUCUUUCUUCCUGUCUGGGAAUCGUGCGGGCCAACGGUGGCCGGCCUAGUAUUUUAUAGUGUGGGCCUUUUUGGCGGUGGCUUUUUCUGUCUUUUCUUUGGUCUUUGCUGCCUCUCGGCCUACGUGGCCGAGUUUCCCCGAUGUACCGCCUCUCUCUUCUCUCGCCGGCUGUCGUUCUUUAGCCCUUUAUGCUAUUUUGCACAGAAGCCUCCUUUGGGGCGGUGUCCUCUGGUUUUUUUUCUUUCUCUCUCUCUCUCUCAGGGAUGCGUGCCGGCAAACAUUGGCCGGCCCGGCUUAAUGUAUGGGCCUUGUCGCCUGUGGCUUUUUUCUUUCUUUUCUUUUCUUUUCUUUUCUUUUUGCUGCCUCUCGGCCUACGUGGCCGAGUUUCCCCCGAUGCACCGCCUCUCUCUUCUCUCUCGGCUGUCGUUCUUUAGCCCUUUAUGCGAGUUUGCACCGAAGCCUCCUUUGGGGCGACGGCCCCUCUUUCUUCCUGUCUGGGAAUCGUGCGGGCCAACGGUGGCCGGCCUAGUAUUUUAUAGUGUGGGCCUUUUUGGCGGUGGCUUUUUCUGUCUUUUCUUUGGUCUUUGCUGCCUCUCGGCCUACGUGGCCGAGUUUCCCCGAUGUACCGCCUCUCUCUUCUCUCGCCGGCUGUCGUUCUUUAGCCCUUUAUGCUAUUUUGCACAGAAGCCUCCUUUGGGGCGGUGUCCUCUGGUUUUUUUUCUCUCUCUCUCUCUCUCUCAGGGAUGCGUGCCGGCAAACAUUGGCCGGCCCGGCUUAAUGUAUGGGCCUUGUCGCCUGUGGCUUUUUUCUUUCUUUUCUUUUCUUUUCUUUUCUUUUUGCUGCCUCUCGGCCUACGUGGCCGAGUUUCCCCCGAUGCACCGCCUCUCUCUUCUCUCUCGGCUGUCGUUCUUUAGCCCUUUAUGCGAGUUUGCACCGAAGCCUCCUUUGGGGCGACGGCCCCUCUUUCUUCCUGUCUGGGAAUCGUGCGGGCCAACGGUGGCCGGCCUAGUAUUUUAUAGUGUGGGCCUUUUUGGCGGUGGCUUUUUCUGUCUUUUCUUUGGUCUUUGCUGCCUCUCGGCCUACGUGGCCGAGUUUCCCCGAUGUACCGCCUCUCUCUUCUCUCGCCGGCUGUCGUUCUUUAGCCCUUUAUGCUAUUUUGCACAGAAGCCUCCUUUGGGGCGGUGUCCUCUGGUUUUUUUUCUCUCUCUCUCUCUCUCUCAGGGAUGCGUGCCGGCAAACAGUGGCCGGCCCGGCUUAAUGUAUGGGCCUUGUCGCCUGUGGCUUUUUUCUUACUUUUCUUUUCUUUUCUUUUCUUUUUGCUGCCUCUCGGCCUACGUGGUCGGGUUUCCCACGAUGCACCGCCUCUCUCUUCUCUCGCCGGCUGUCGUUCUUUACCCCUUUAUGCGAUUUUGCACAGAAGCCUCCUUUGGGGCGGCGGCCCCUCUUUCUUCCUCACAGGGAAGCGUGCCGGCCAACGGUGGCACGCCUAGUAUUUCAACGUGUGGGCCUUGUCGGCCUAUGUGGUCGACGUGUUUCCCACGAUGCACCGCCUCUGUCUUCUCUCGCGGCUGUCGUUCUUUACCCCUUGGUGCAAUCUUGCACAGAACCCUUUUGACAGAUGGAAGGGCUAUCUGAGCCUUGCGAAAGUGGUUACGGAGAUCAUCGCGGAACGCAAGAAGGUCCCAUUUCCAUCUCAGAGUUUGGACACAAUGGAGUACGACAUGCAGCUAGUCCUCAACGAGGACAACUUUGAAACAGCAUCACAAUGGGUUAAUGGAAGCAGUUCCAGCAGCAAGAGCUCCAAAGGUAGUGCCAAUGGCCAGGCUUCCCAAAACAAGGAGAUUUGCAAUUUCUGCAAACACAACGGGGAAUCCAAGCAGGUCUAUUCGUCCCACCGGCUGAAGGGGAUGGACGGCACCGUGGAGUGCCCCAUCUUGCGCAAAUACACCUGUCCGCUCUGCGGUGCCACGGGCGAAAAGGCCCAUACUUUAAAAUACUGCCCACUGAGCCAAGGGAAGAGGUCGCUGUAUCGCAAGUGCGGACGUAACUCGGCUGGACGCAAGGUGAGGAGAUAAGAAGAUCAGGAGAAGACCGAAGCAUUUAUUCUUAGUUUUAGUUUGACUUUGUAAAAGAACAACAUUUGAUUUCGAGCAUCAUUAACACUCUUUACAUUUCCUCCCACUUUGUUUCAGGUUUGGAGAAUGGAAGCCCAAUUCUCUUAGACUACAUUUAUGUGUCAGUUGCCUAGUGUGAUGAUUCAUGGGCCCUGCAGUCCUAUUCCUGACAGUAUUGUGGCAGAUGAGGAGGAAAAUAUGGAGUUUUCCCCAGAUUUCCGGUCGGAGUCAGAGCCUUGGCAGCUGCCUGAAGUUCUAGUCCAAGAACCAAUUAAACCUGACCUUGGUGGGAACUCUCCCCCUUAUGGGAGAAAACAGGCUUACACGACUGAUAGAGGAUCGAGAGAAAAAUUUAGAAGUAGUGCUCGCCUUGCUGCCAAAUAUGCCACUGAUUAGAAGUAUUUCCCCUGAGAAAAUACGGGGAGUCUUGCACCUGCAAGCUGGUUUCCUUCGCUCCCUGUUCUCUAGGGAAAGUGAUUGUUGUUUGGGGAAACGAGACCCAAUAUAGGGAAAUUGCGCGAAGGAUUCCUUGCGGAGUCAAUUCGUCAGCUCCUGGAGAGAGGUCAUGUGUGUGUGGACUUCGAAUCCUGUUCCUUGCCUCCUGAAUCUAGUUCCAAGCCUUGUCCUCGUCUCACGGAUUUACCACAGAUCUUGUUCCAUGCUUCAAGUUGCUUUGCCUUUAGCCACAGCUCCAGCCACGUUCCAAGUAACUUUCAGCCUUGUGUCAAGCUUCAUUGGAUUCAAGACUUUUUCUGUUUUCCCAACGCUUUGCUUGGCAAAGCGUGUGUUGCGGUUAUUGGAUUAUAAUCUUUGGACUCUAAUAUUUCAUAUUGGACAAUAAUCUGCUGGACUAUAUUUGGCCUCAUUUGAAAGGUCUGCUUCUGAACUUUAUUCUACACUUGUUUUUAUUGACUUUAUAUAUUCCUUUAAUAAAGAUAUUAGAUAGAAUCUGGCCUCAGUGUAUGGUUAUUGGUGCCCAGCAGCCUAUAUCCUGACACCUUGUAUCAUGCUUUUUUAUACAUAUAAUCAUGUUUUUUACAUAUGUAAUAUCACGUUCCUUUGACAUCUGUAAUUGCCUUAUAUCAUAUUUUAUAUUGUGUUUUAUAUAUGCAGUUACUUUACAUGUUUCUUUUAUGUAUGGAUGUAUAAUUUUUACAUGUUUAAUUAUAUUAUUUGCAACUAUAAUUGCCUAAUAUCAUGCUUCUUUUAUAUAUGCAAUGACAUCAUGUUUAUUUAACGUAUAUAAGUGCCUUAUAUCAUGUCCGGGUUAUCAUGUGUGUCUCCAGAGGGAUGCAGCCCUAUCCUUUGCAGGGAAAAUAUAGAAAUAUCUUCUAAAUGGCUACUGUCUAGAAUUUUGUUUUGUAAAGAAAGGAAAAGUUUAUAUGCUAUUGGAAAGAAAGAUACUAUUUUAUGUUUAAAUUUUGGAAAGGAAUAGAAUUGGUUAUUAUUACUGUGGUCUAACCUUCAAUUGUUUGCAAGUUGUUCUAAAGUUUGGAUCGUAGAGUUUAAUAAACAGAGUUUAUGGUUUUGGCAUCAAAACUGUUCAUGUUGUGCUUAAAUGGGAUUGAAUUUUCUUUAAUUUGUGGCCCAUAAUAGGCUGGUUAUAAGCCUGAUCUGGAAGGCAGCCAAGGCAAAGACCAUUGAGCUGCUGAACUUGCAGACUGAAAGGUCCCAGGUUCAAAUCCCGGGAGCAGAGUGAGCGCCCGCUGUUAGCUCCAGCUUCUGCCAACCUAGCAGCUUGAAAACAUGCCAAUGUGAGUAGAUGAAUAGGUACCGCUGUGGCGGGAAGGUAAUGGCACUCCAUGUAGUCAUGCCGACCACAUGACCUUGGAGGUGUCUAUGGACAACACUGGCUCUUGGGGUUAGAAAUGGAGGUGAGCACAACCCCCAGAGUCAGACAUGACUGAACUUAACGUCAAGGGAUACCUUUACACACACACACAUGCAGGGACUACACCAAUUUAACAAAGUUUCAGCCACAAAAACAAAGUUUCUAAAGUAGAGCAAUGACUUUCACAGUAAAGACAACCCAAUUUAACAGGAAAUAAGACUUUCAAACCAGGAACAGAUUUCUGCAAUUAUUAAAAAAUGGUUCAUUAUAAAAGCUAUGAAAAUUUGCCAAAAAUCAGAGGAUAAGGGAAACGUUCCACAUUUUGGUGAGCUAUCAGUGUUAAAUGUGUUCUACCACUGUACCAAGUUUGAAGAAGAUCACUCAAAAAAUGAGGGCGGGAGAGCCCCCUAAGUCCCCCCCCCUUCGGGCUGUUUUUGGGCCACCGCGCAUGCGCGUCCGCCAUUAACGAAUUAAUUUCG